CUUCAUUCCUGAACAUAUACUAAAAUUGGAACAAUACGGAGAAGAAUAGCAUGGUCUCUGCGCAAGGAUAAACAAACUCGUGCAGCGUUCCAAAAACAG
rnacentral:snRNA from 1 species